AAAACGACUCUCGGCAACGGAUAUCUCGGCUCUCGCAUCGAUGAAGAACGUAGCGAACUGCGAUACUUGGUGUGAAUUGCAGAAUCCCGUGAACCAUCGAGUCUUUGAACGCAAGUUGCGCCCGAAGCCAUUAGGCCAAGGGCACGUCUGCCUGGGCGUCACAC
rnacentral:rRNA from 1 species